GACGAACGCUGGCGGCGUGCUUAACACAUGCAAGUCGAACGGAAAGGCCCUGCUUUUGUGGGGUGCUCGAGUGGCGAACGGGUGAGUAACACGUGAGUAACCUGCCCUUGACUUUGGGAUAACUUCAGGAAACUGGGGCUAAUACCGGAUAGGAGCUCCUGCUGCAUGGUGGGGGUUGGAAAGUUUCGGCGGUUGGGGAUGGACUCGCGGCUUAUCAGCUUGUUGGUGGGGUAGUGGCUUACCAAGGCUUUGACGGGUAGCCGGCCUGAGAGGGUGACCGGCCACAUUGGGCCUGCGAUACGGCCCAGACUCCUACGGGAGACAGCAGUGGGGAAUAUUGCACAAUGGGCGGAAGCCUGAUGCAGCAACGCCGCGUGCGGGAUGACGGCCUUCGGGUUGUAAACCGCUUUCGCCUGUGACGAAGCGUGAGUGACGGUAAUGGGUAAAGAAGCACCGGCUAACUACGUG
rnacentral:rRNA from 1 species